UACGUAGGUGGCAAGCGUUGUCCGGAUUUACUGGGCGUAAAGAGCGCGCAGGCGGUCGUUCAAGUCGCGUGUGAAAGCCCCCGGCUCAACUGGGGAGGGUCACGCGAUACUGAUCGACUCGAAGGCAGGAGAGGGUAGUGGAAUUCCCGGUGUAGUGGUGAAAUGCGUAGAUAUCGGGGAGGAACACCAGUGGCGAAGGCGACUACCUGGCUGUUCUUGACGCUGAGGCGCGAAAGCUAGGGGAGCAACGGG
rnacentral:rRNA from 1 species